rnacentral:rRNA from 1 species
GACGAACGCUGGCGGUGUGCCUAACACAUGCAAGUCGAACGGAAACGCCCUGCUAUUGUGCUGUGCCCGAGUGGCGAACGGGUGAGUAACACGUGAGUAACCUGCUCUUGACUUUGGGAUAACUUCAGGAAACUGGGCUUAAUAUCGGACAGCAGCUCCCGCAGCAUGGAGAGGGUUGGAAAGUUUCGGCGGUUGUGGAUGGACUCGCGGCUUACCAGUUUGCUAGUGGGGUGGUGGCAGACCAAGGGUUUGACGGGUACCCGGCAUGAGAGGGGGACCGGCGACAAUACGACUACGAGACGGACCAGACGCGUACGGGAGGCAGCAGUGGGGAGUAUUACACAAUGAGCGGGAGCCUGUUACAGCGACGUCGCGUGCGUAAUGACGGCCUUCGGGUUAUGAACCGCUUUCGCCUGUGACGAAGCGGUAGUGACGGUAAUGGAUAAAGAAGCACCGGCUAACUACGUG